ACCUAUGGAGGGAAAGGAAAUCAGAUUGUUUUGACAUCAAUAUCAAAGCAUUCAACCACAUACAGGAGAGCCACUAGGUAAAACAACAUUGAAAUGUAGAACAUUGCAUAAUCGCAGAAUGCCAUAGUACAACAUAGAUUUAACUUUAGAGUUGGUCCCAUAGUAUGUACAGAAUGCAAACUAGGUCUACCAAUUCAAAUACACAAUGGAUUGUGUGAAGGGGCUCUAUCAAUCAUCAUGUACAAUAAGUACAUUACAGCUACAAUCGCCCAUGGCCCCGGACAGGAGUCUCUGAUCGCUUCGAGCUCACUUGAUUCUAAAUGAAUCUGACAAGAGCAAUGACAGAAUUGACAGGGCCAACCUACGACGCUUCCGUCGAACAGUGUCAGCACUUGAAUUGCAAGACCUCCACCUACAUGGGAGGCGCUUCACAUGGAGCCACGAAAGGGAAAACCCGACCCUUGUUCGCCUCGACAGGGUCCUUGUCUCCAUCGAGUGGGAAACAAUGUUCCCAAAUGCGCACUUGCGUGGUCUCGGCUCUGAGGCAUCAGAUCAUUCUGCGCUCUUGCUCCAAACCAACCUGGGUAGCUGGUGUAAGGCGCGUUUUCACUUUGAGGCAUUCUGGCCAUCGUUCGAUGACUACUGCGAGGUUGUGGCAGGGGCCUGGCAAUGCCCACUGAACGUGCACAAUCCUUUUAAAAGGCUGGACUACAUGCUACGAGCACUCGUGCGGAGGUUGCAGAGCUAGUCAUCAGGCAGGAUAGGCGAAGUCAGAGCCCAGCUUCUCAUCGCCAGAGAGCUUGUCCUACGGCUGGAUGUGGCACAGGAAAGACGGCAGCUGAGUGAAAUGGAACAGGGACUCCGGAAACAUCUAAAAAUGCAGUGCCUGGGCCUAGCCUCCCUGGAACGAACCAUUGCACGCCAACGAUCCCGAGUAAGGCAGCUCAAGGAGGGAGACGCCAACACAGCAUAUUUCCACAUGAUCGCGAGAGGCCGCAAACGGAAAAACUUCAUCCCGGUGCUCACCAUCGAUGGGCACACCAUAGCAGAACACUCAGACAUGGAGCUGGCACUGCACGUGCACUUUGUUGGAGUCUUCGGCUCGGUCCAGAUAGACACCAUCUCACCGAACUUCAUGAGCCUCGGCGUCAACCAAAUCGACCUAUCCGAACUCGAUGCUCCCAUCGGCGAAGUUGAGGUUUGUGCCGCGAUCAAAGAGCUGCCGAGUGACCGUGCGCCGGGGCCGGACGGAUUUACUGGCACGUUCUACAAGACCACAUGGCCUGUGAUUCGCUUGGAGGUAAUGGCUGCUGUUCGCGCGUUCGAGCAGGGGAAUUCAAGGCACCUGAACCUCUUGAACAACGCAGUCAUUGCUCUUCUUCCAAAAAAAUGGGCGCUACCAAUCCUGGAGACUUCAGACCAAUCACCAUGGUACACAGCUUUGCCAAGUUAAUUUCAAAGGUUCUGUCCUUGCGUCUUGCGCCGCGGCUACCAGACUUGAUCAGUAAAAACCAGAAUGCAUUCAUCAAGGCCCGAUCAAUCCAUGACUAUUACAAGUAUGUUCAGAGGGCUGCAGCUCUUAUCAGGAAGAAGCAGGUUCCUAUGCUACUACUCAAACUAGAUAUCUCAAAGGCCUUCGAUACUCUUUCCUGGCCGUUCCUCUUGGAAACACUUAGAGCACAUGGAUUCAGCGCACAGUGGUGCUCCUGGAUUGAGUCGCUACUCAGCUCUGCUUCCUCCAGGAUAAUGCUCAAUGGACGCCAGGGACCUCCAAUUAGGCACAUGAGAGGAGUCCGUCAAGGCGACUCUCUUUCCCCAAUGCUAUUCAUAAUUGCCAUGGAUAUCUUACACCGGCUGCUAGCGAAGGCGGUUCAGGACAGAAUGCUACGGCCAAUGCCGAUUCAGGAAAUCAAAUUCUAAUGCAGCUUGUACGCGGACGAUGCAAUCCUGUUCAUCCGGUCAACAGUACAGGAAGCACUGGCAGUGAAAGACAUCCUAGGCAUCUUCGGAGAAUCUUCCGGACUAUGCACCAACCUGGCAAAAAAUGUUCAGUAACCAACAUCUAUGGCGGAGAAGCAGCGCUGCCACAAAUCAUCUCAAUUCUAGGGUGCCAAGAGCAACAUUUUCCAAUCCGGUACUUGGGGCUGCCCAUAAGCGCAAGAACAAUACCAAAGGCCAACCAGCAGGCACUGGUGGAAGCAGUGGCAAGGAAGCUGCCGUCAAGCCAUGCGUCGCUAAUGAAUAGAAGCGGUAGGCUGAUAUGGGUGAAAUCAGUGCUGCGAUCUGUACCAAUUUAUGCAAUGAUGGCCGAGAACCUUCCUCCCUGGGUAGCCAAAGAGAUCGACUCCAUUUGCCGGAAGUUCUUCUGGUCAGGUACUGAUCAAUCUGUGCGAGGUCGAUGCAUGGUGGCUUGGAAAACGUGCUGCAGACCGACUCAUUUGGGUGGGCUAGGGAUCAGCGACCUACGCCUAACCGGGAAUGCCCUCUAGACAAGAUGGCUGUGGCUGCAACAGACGGAUGAAGACAGAGCUUGGACAUGGACACCAAAAACUUUAUUUGGAUUGAUCAACUCUCAAUAUAUCUCUAAAAGUUUUCCUUUAAUUUUUAGAAUUUUGGAAAUAUUUUCAUGGCUUUUAAAUGAUUUCAGCUUUUUCUGGAAUUAUUUUUGAACUAAAAAUAAAUUUCUAAAAAUCCCGUAAUUAAUAAUUUUUGAAACUUUUCCAAACCCUAGACCUAUAUAUAUGCCGGCGUAGCCCUCGACGCGCUGAUUCCAGAAGUACGAUCGGUUUCUCGAGCCGCCAUUCGUAGCCCCGUAGAUCCAUCGCCGAAGUUUUAGAUCUCAUUCCCGGCGAACUUUUCCGGCGAACGUUCGGCGAGCGUUUCCGGCCAUCUCCGGCAUCUCCUGCGAAAACCGACACCGCUGCGAGGUUCGUCUCGUCAUCCUCUACACCGGCACGCUAUCCUUUUCUCGAAUCCGUGCUCGUUCAUUGUUUCCCUAACUUUAUUUCUUGUUUUCCGGCGAGAACCUCCAUGAACGCAGUCUUCUUCGUUUUCGGCCACCGCGUCCCAGUGUGGCGUCACCGGUGACCCUGCACCCCGCGCCGCAAUCCCGUGCCUCCCCCGCAUGCCGCGCACGUUGCAGCAGCAACAGCCAACGGCGCCGGCCAAGAUGCCGCCACUACCUUGCUGUAGGCCGAGCAGGCCCUCCUCGCCCUGGACACCGCGCCCCCAGGCGGGUCUAGUCAAAGGAGGUUCAGGCUUUCUUCAAAGCCUCCACUUUCACUGUACUGGGAGACGGGCGCCGCACACUGUUUUGGGAGGACAGAUGGAUUGACGGCCUCAGUAUUGAAGACAUAGCGCCCUACAUCCAUGGGCGAGUGCAUAAGCGAGUAAGAAUGCGGCAAACUGUUAGUGAAGGACUGCAUAACAGAACUUGGGUUCGAUGCAUCAAUGGCGGCCUUUCAGUCACAGAGGUCAUCGAAUACCUCCAUCUGUGGACAACUCUCAACUCCUACGAGCUCACCGACGCUCCAGACCGGCUUGUCUGGCGGUGGACAGAAGAUGGGAGAUACACCGCCAAAUCAGCUUACUCCAUGAUGCACGUUGGCUCAAUCAAGAUGUGUGGACACAAGCUUGUGUAGAAAACUUGGGCACCACUGAGAAUCAAAAUCUUCCUAUGACUUGCUCUCAGAAGGAGACACUGGACCGGAGAUAGAAGACGGAGGCAUGGUCUAGAUGCACAGGCCAGCUACUACCUUUGUGAUCAGGCAGAGGAAUCCAUUGACCACAUCAUUGCUGAAUGCCCGCUGGCAAGAGAGCUUUGGUUUCACAUCCUCCAUUCGCUCGGGCAACAGUUACCACAAGCACAGCCGACGACAUUAAAAUGGUGGAGACAACUGCGCUCCACGUUCUCUGGUAUCCGCAAACCAGGAGCGGACUCCCUCUUCGCGCUAGUCUCGUGGACAAUUUGGAAAGAACGCAACGCUCGGUGCUUCAGGCAAUCUUCUGCAACCAUCGCCGAACUGCUCCAACUAAUCAAGGAUGAGGCCGAUCGAUGGAUACAGGCGGGAGCUCCUGGGUUAAAAGUUUUGGCGCAGGGAUAGUCCCUAGACCUUUACGUUCAGCUCUGGUUGUUUUCCUUCGCGAUGUAACUUACCGCAAAAUACUAACGCCGGGAGCGGCACUCUUGUAAGAUGCAAAUUCUUCUCUUCUAAUACAAUGAUAUGCACUCUUGUGCAUAUUCGAGAAAAAAUAAGUACAUUAAAGCUACGUAGAACAGCAGCAGCAGUGGUUGUGAUUUGUGAUAGCAUAGUCAUCACGAGUGAAUGAAUAGUGUGAUCCCUUCAGAUCAAAGUUCAGAAAGGCGACGCCUCAUCCCCGCCUAGCCGCGACUAAUCACUAGUCAAGGGGUUCCCGCCUGGCCUACGGGGUAGGCGG
rnacentral:lncRNA from 1 species